AAUGCAGUUAUGUGACAGCCGGGAGGCAAAAGGGAUUAACAAGAAAAUAGCCUUAAAAAAGCUCUCCACAGAUGGACUGGAUGAGGAGGCCAAGAGCAUCACAAAGAAAUUAGGUUUGCUGAGGGUCCUGGGAAACAAGGCUGGGCCGCGCACGGCACUCAGAAGGGGGUCACAGCAAAUGACGGGCCCCGCAGGCCUUCAAGAGGACUACACCCUUGAUGAGCUGAGCAGCACGGCACUCAGAAGGGGGUCACAGCAAACGACGGGCAAGGAGCCCCGCAUGCUACAGAUCUCCAGCGUGAGAGGCAGACCUUCAAGAGGACUAUACCCUUGAUGAGCUCAGCAACUCGAGAAGAGUGAGGGAUGAGGCAGAGCCCUGGGAGAAGGAAAAAAGGUUGUGGGGUCUCGUGAGAGACUGUUUCCACCUCUUUAUCCUUCAGGACGGAGGACACGAGUAUGAAACCUGAGGCUUCAACGUACAACUCUUUACAAAGCCGGUCUUAAUGUGGGAAGGCGACCGAUUUGGGGGCAAAAACUAAUCUACAGAGCAGCCGUAGACUCGGAACUUGGAAAAGUUAGAUUUGUGUUGUUGUUGUUUUACUACAAUGACCAGAAACCUCACAGCCAUACAACUCUUUACAAAGCCGGUCUUAAUGUGGGAAGGCGACCGAUUUGGGGGCAAAAACUAAUCUACAGAGCAGCCGUAGACUCGGAACUUGGAAAAGUUAGAUUUGUGUUGUUGUUGUUUUACUACAAUGACGAGAAACCUCACAGACAUCGGGGAUUCUGGGAGCUGUAGUUCAAAAGAAAGACUGCCCUCAUCUCCAAUUUCUAGGUCCAUUUCUCUUCGCAUUGCCUCCUGGAACCAGCAGCAGCUUUCCGACCCCUGAAGCAAGUUUCUGCCAGUCUUAAAGUGAAUUAAACGAGGCUUUAGGAAAUGAACUGAGGCUUUCUGUAUAAAGAAAGGCAUGUUCUACUCUUUAACUAUCAUCCCAUCUUCACCUGAUCCGCUGCUCUGCUCAGAACAAAGAAGAAUUGGAUCUAUUCUUCUGCUAAUCUAGCUGGCCAGAUUUUCAGUUACAGUUGAGUUCACAACCUUCUUGCGAAGCAGGUCGGCGCCGGUGUAUGGUGGGUCCAAGAUCCCCCCAGGGAGCUAAUUCUGUGGCUGAACGGGGGGGAUUUGAACCCAGGUCUUGACACUCCCGCCCCUGCUCCAAGCUUUGGCCUAUGUUCCAAACCACAGCUCCCUCUUCCAUCUUUUGGGGACCUGCCAAACCGAGAGUCACAUUGGCUUGAGCCCCCCCCAUGCCCCCAUUUCAUAUGCUGUGC
rnacentral:lncRNA from 1 species